rnacentral:rRNA from 1 species
GAAAUUGAACUCGCUGUGAAGAUGCAGUGUACCCGCGGCAAGACGGAAAGACCCCGUGAACCUUUACUAUAGCUUGACACUGAACAUUGAGCCUUGAUGUGUAGGAUAGGUGGGAGGCUUUGAAGUGUGGACGCCAGUCUGCAUGGAGCCGACCUUGAAAUACCACCCUUUAAUGUUUGAUGUUCUAACGUGGACCCGUUACCCGGGUUGCGGACAGUGUCUGGUGGGUAGUUUGACUGGGGCGGUCUCCUCCUAAAGAGUAACGGAGGAGCACGAAGGUUGGCUAAUCCUGGUCGGACAUCAGGAGGUUAGUGCAAUGGCAUAAGCCAGCUUGACUGCGAGCGUGACGGCGCGAGCAGGUGCGAAAGCAGGUCAUAGUGAUCCGGUGGUUCUGAAUGGAAGGGCCAUCGCUCAACGGAUAAAAGGUACUCCGGGGAUAACAGGCUGAUACCGCCCAAGAGUUCAUAUCGACGGCGGUGUUUGGCACCUCGAUGUCGGCUCAUCACAUCCUGGGGCUGAAGUAGGUCCCAAGGGUAUGGCUGUUCGCCAUUUAAAGUGGUACGCGAGCUGGGUUUAGAACGUCGUGAGACAGUUCGGUCCCUAUCUGCCGUGGGCGCUGGAGAACUGAGGGGGGCUGCUCCUAGUACGAGAGGACCGGAGUGGACGCAUCACUGGUGUUCGGGUUGUCAUGCCAAUGGCACUGCCCGGUAGCUAAAUGCGGAAGAGAUAAGUGCUGAAAGCAUCUAAGCACGAAACUUGCCCCGA